GGCUGCGCGGCCCUUUGGCGCGCCCGUGAGGUGUGGGCCGCGCUUGCGUAGACUUGGUGAGCGCUGGGGCUGCAAUGCUGUCCGACGUCCCCCAGGCCGCUGCACGGGCGUUUUCGAGUGAGUUCUCCAGUCGGGGUCCCAGACGGCGUUGUGCUUUCAUUGGCUUUGCAUCUCCUUGCUGCUUCCAGAGGAAGAUCUCUUCUGACAGACAUCUGGCUUCCAUCGUGCACAUUAGAGACUUCACACAGGCGUGGAAGCCGAUGACGCCAGGUUUUGAGCCUCAGAUUUAGCAGGACGGUGUUCUAGAAACCCAGACCAGUGUUUUAACCCAGAUGUGUUGGUCCCUUGUGCUAACUUUAAAAAAAUAUUUUUUAUGAAAACUGGAAAUAGCCCCAAGCAGUGGGGUCGGUCGUACCAAUUUGAGAAACUGGAUUGGACUUUGGAAUAGAAGACCUGGAACUGAAUCCUGGCUCUUUGACUUAAAGAGCCCUUAGACAGGUUGGCUUCUAGCAGCAGUCUACUUCCUCCAAAGAAGACAGAAGACAGAUGGGCACAGAACAAUGUCCAUCCGCAAUUCGCUUCAUCAACUGCCAAGAGCUGACCACUGGGUAAAACUGCCUUUCAUUUAAACUGAAGCUCUCCAGACAGUGGACAAAAUCACCGGAAUUGACAGCCUAUCUGCUCAGGCCAAGGUAGUGUGCUUUACAUAUCUGCCGAGGGACUGUAGCUCCUAUGUGCAGCACGCGGCUGUGUGGUGGGGACCGGUGCUCUUCUCAGCUGUUUGGGAAUAAUUAUGUGGACUACAUGCUACAUGCUGCUUUCAUGGAACACCUUCCAUGUGCAUGUGAAGAACACAGCAUCACUGUCCAAGGAUGCAGAGCCAAGGCCAGGUAGAAGCCACCAACACCGAGUGCAAGCCUUCCAGGCUCCUGGAAUACUUCCUGGCGGUAGCACAAAAUCUCAGCAACAUUUUAUGCUGUGUGCUCCCAUCAGUCACCUCCUUUCUUUUAAAAGGCUGGAUAAUAGGUGACUUCAGGCUGUGCGAACCAAGAGGCAGAAUCAAGACUUGUGUUGUACUUAUUGACCGUUUAAAAAGGCCAAAUCUAUCACCGGCUUAUGGCCAAAACAAAUAACAAAACUUCAAACUCAUUCACCAGCUUUAGUCUGUGGAUCAUGGUUGCCAACCUCUGACCCAUACGGAACUCUGAGUCAUGCAGUCUCUUGUAAUUUGAAGUACCCUCUUAACGGUGUAGCCAAAACCUUCAUUUGACUGUUUCACGUGCAUGGAAUCACCAAGACUGACACAGCGAUGAUCAGAUCUGCACACUGGUCCCAUUAUUUCAUCAACUUUGUUUUCCUUCAUUGAAACUUAUAUCUAAGAUAAAUAAAAAGCAUCCCAGGUA